rnacentral:tRNA from 1 species
GGUGAGAUGGCCGAGCGGUCUAAGGCGCCAGACUAAGGAGACCAACGCAUUUGAUGUGUAGAAAAUCUGGUCACAUUGUGGCGUGGGUUCGAAUCCCACUCUCAUCA